AUGGUAACUGGGUUCAUGAGUUAUGGUCAACAAACAAUAUGUGCUACAAGGUACAUUGGUCAAAGUUUCAUAAUUACCUUAUCCCACACAAAUCGUUUACCUAUAACGAUUCACUACCCUUAUGAAAAAUCAAUUACACCAGAGCGUUUCCGAGGGCGAAUCCACUUUGAAUUUCAUAAAUGUAUGAUUUCACAUAUACUUGUCCUUGUAUUGUGUCAGUAUGAGAAUAUCCUUCCUAAAUUAUUUAUCCAAACCUAUUGA
rnacentral:rRNA from 1 species